AUUGAACGCUGGCGGCAGGCCUAACACAUGCAAGUCGAGCGAGCGGCGGACGGGUGAGUAAUGUAUGGGGACUGCCCGAUAGAGGGGGAUAACUCCUGGAAACGGUGGCUAAUACCGCAUACUGUUUGAUAACCCAUAUGGGUUUAGCGUGUAGGUAAGGUAAUUGCUUAACAACGCGACGAUCCCUAGCUGGUCUGAGAGGAUGAUCAGCCACACUGGGACUGAGACACGGCCCAGAAUCCUACGGAGGGAGCAGUGGGGAAUAUUGCGCAAGGGGGGCAUGCCUGAUGCAGCCAUGCCGGGUGUAUGAAGAAGGCCCUAGGGUUGUAAAGUACUUUCAGUCGGGAGGCGUUACCGACAGAAGAAGCACCGGCUAACUCCGUGCCAGCAGCCGCGGUAAUU
rnacentral:rRNA from 1 species